UAGAAAGUGAUUGAUUUCAUAAAAUGAUUUGAAUGAAUAUGUUGCAGGGACCACGAAUAAUAGUACUGUUUCGCUAAUACCACUUAUCAUCACUGCUCAUAUCAUCUUUACGCGACUUUCGUCCUCAGGUGAUAUCGGCAUCAUAUCUACUCUGGUUGUACAAUCUGCUAUUUAUUUAUUUUUCCUAUCUCAACAUUCUAUCUCAAUAAUAAACAACUUCAGAAACUUGUGUCAAGUGAAUAAUCGAAGUUUCACGACUACUAGUGAACAAAAUACGUUAAAUUCGCUACGUAUUGCUUGCCCUGGAGGGCAUGACCAAUAAAUUUAUUUUUGUUGUAAUUUCGUAUGUACUUAAU